rnacentral:rRNA from 1 species
GAGUUUGAUCCUGGCUCAGGACGAACGCUGGCGGCGCGCCUAACACAUGCAAGUCGAACGGAGCUGAGAGAAGCUUGCUUUUCUUAGCUUAGUGGCGAACGGGUGAGUAACGCGUGAGUAACCUGCCCUGGAGUGGGGGACAACAGUUGGAAACGACUGCUAAUACCGCAUAAGCCCACGAUCCGGCAUCGGAUUGAGGGAAAAGGAUUUAUUCGCUUCAGGAUGGACUCGCGUCCAAUUAGCUAGUUGGUGAGGUAACGGCCCACCAAGGCGACGAUUGGUAGCCGGACUGAGAGGUUGAACGGCCACAUUGAGACUGAGACACGGCCCAGACUCCUACGGGAGGCAGCAGUGGGGGAUAUUGCACAAUGGGGGAAACCCUGAUGCAGCGACGCCGCGUGGAGGAAGAAGGUCUUCGGAUUGUAAACUCCUGUUGUUGGGGAAGAUAAUGACGGUACCCAACAAGGAAGUGACGGCUAACUACGUGCCAGCCGCCGCGGUAAUUC